AAUUGAUACACAGUGCAUAGUACGUAAAAAAAAAUUAAUACAAUGCAAUCUUUUUCUUAGAAUUCUUAGAAGUUACGAAAUGUUUAAUGUAUAAAAUUAUCGUGUGUAAGCCGGCGAAGGGGAAACAUAUUGAAUGUAUGCUGUAAAGGUAAUGUCUCACUGACAAAAACAGCUUGUAACUCAGAAAUAGUUUUCUACAACUUGCAAGAGUAACUUGCGUUUCGAUUAGGUUUUUAAAAAUUCAAAAUAUAGUAAAAUCAUUCUAAAAACGUUUAAUUUUCUCAUUUUCAUACUAACUACUUCCUUGCUAUUCUUCCCAAUCUACCAAUUUCACUACAUUCAUACAUAUUUUAUGAAAAAUUUCAUACUUCCCCUCCAUGUAAUUUAUAAGAGAGAUUUAUAUGAGGAUUUAUCAGAAUUAAUAAGGAGUGUUAAGCUUUGUAUUAAGUCUUGCUGCAAAAUGCAUAAAAUGCUUUUACUAUAUUUUGAAUUUUUGGAAACCUAAUCAAAACCUAAAUUAUGCAUGCAGAUUGUAGUAUAUGUAUAUAUCUUAUAAAACAAGGUUUAAACAUGUAUCUAGUAAAUUAGAAAGCGAACUUUUUAAAUUCGUUCACAAUAAAAAUCACAGAAAAUCAAUUGAUAACAGGAUUGUUGUUUUAAUAACUUUUUAUGAAUAAAAACUCAUAAUUUAUUUUUGGUAUUUAUAUUUAUCAACACCUUAUAAGCUCUACAAUAAUUUUAUUUAUAUACACAGUAUAUACUUUUCUCGUUGUACCUUUAUAGAACUAGAAAAACAGAAAAUUUAUUAUACAACAAAUUCUAAACAA